rnacentral:rRNA from 1 species
UCGAACGGGCUAGUGCUUCGCACUAGUCUCUUUCUGGGGUUGUUACUCUAAGACUGCCUGCUGAAGUUAUUGCUUAAAGCAGCGGUUUAGGGGAAUUUCCCCUAAAGGGGCCAGUGCGGAGCACUGGCCAGUGGCGAACGGGUGAGUAACACGUGGGUAAUCUACCCUCGAGUGGGGAAUAAGCUUCCGAAAGGAGGUCUAAUGCCGCAUAACGUUUCAUAACGAUGGUUAUGAAACCAAAGCCCAAAAGGCGCUUGAGGAGGAGCCUGCGUCCUAUCAGCUUGUUGGCAGGGUAAUGGCCUACCAAGGCUAUGACGGGUAGCCGGCCUGAGAGGGUGUCCGGCCACACUGGAACUGAGACACGGUCCAGACUCCUACGGGAGGCAGCAGUGGGGAAUUUUGCGCAAUGGGGGAAACCCUGACGCAGCGGCGCCGCGUGGAGGAUGACGGCCUUCGGGUUGUAAACUCCUGUCAGAAGGGACGAAAUCCCGCAAGGGACUGACGGUACCUUCAGAGGAAGCCCCGGCUAACUACGUG